UGGUUCGAUUCUGGCUCAGGAUGAACGCUGGCGGCAUGCCUAAUACAUGCAAGUCGAACGGAGUGAAGCCUUCGGGUUUCAUUCAGUGGCGAACGGGUGAGUAAUACGCAGGGAACCUGGCCAUGGCAGGGGGAUACACUCUGGAAACGGAGCAUAAGACCCCAUAGGCAGUAAGGCGGCAUCGCCUUACUGUUAAAGAAAGCUGAAAGGCUUUGGCGAUGGAUGGACCUGCGGUGCAUUAGCUUGUUGGUGAGGCAACGGCUUACCAAGGCGAUGAUGCAUAGCCGGCCUGAGAGGGCGGACGGCCACACUGGGACUGAGACACGGCCCAGACUCCUGCGGGAGGCAGCAGUAGGGAAUUUUCGUCAAUGGGCGCAAGCCUGAACGAGCAAUGCCGCGUGAGUGAGGAAGGUCUUCGGACUGUAAAGCUCUGUUGCCGGGGAAAAAGGGGAAAUGCAGGAAAUGGCAUUUCAUGGAUGGUACCCGGCCAGAAAGCCACGGCUAACUACGUGCCAGCAGCCGCGGUAAUACGUAGGUGGCGAGCGUUAUCCGGAAUGAUUGGGCGUAAAGGGUGCGCAGGCGGUCUGUUAAGUCUGAAGGCAAAGGGAUGAGCUCAACUCAUUUAUGAUUCAGAAACUGGCAGACUUGAGGACAGGAGAGGGCGGUGGAACUCCAUGUGUAGCGGUAAAAUGCGCAGAGAUAUGGAAGAACACCAGUGGCGAAGGCGGCCGCCUGGCCUGUGACUGACGCUGAGGCACGAAAGCGUGGGGAGCAAAUAGGAUUAGAUACCCUAGUAGUCCACGCCGUAAACGAUGAGGAGCAGGUGUUGGGAGUGAAAUCUCAGUGCCGAAGCCAACGCAGUGACUCCUCCGCCUGGGGAGUAUGCACGCAAGUGUGAAACUCAAAGGAAUUGACGGGGGCCCGCACAAGCGGUGGAGUAUGUGGUUUAAUUCGAAGCAACGCGAAGAACCUUACCAGGUUUUGACAUCGGAUGCGAAGGCGCAGAGAUGCGCUGGAGGCUAUCAUCCAGACAGGUGGUGCAUGGUUGUCGUCAGCUCGUGUCGUGAGAUGUUCAGUUAAGUCUGGCAACGAGCGCAACCCCCGUGGUAUGUUACUAACGCAUUUGGGCGAGGACUCAUAUCAGACUGCCGGUGACAAACCGGAGGAAGGCGGGGAUGACGUCAAAUCAUCAUGCCCCUUAUGACCUGGGCUACACACGUACUACAAUGGCGUCUACAGAGGGAAGCGACCCUGAGAAGGGAAGCGAAACCGGAAAAGGGCGUCCCAGUUCGGAUUGAAGUCUGCAACCCGACUUCAUGAAGAUGGAAUCGCUAGUAAUCGCGGAUCAGCAUGCCGCGGUGAAUACGUUCCCGGGCCUUGUACACACCGCCCGUCAAACCAUGGAAGCCGGCAACGCCCGAAGCCGGUGGCAUAACCUUUUAGGAGUGAGCCGUCGAAGGCGGGGCCGAUGACUGGGGUUAAGUCGUAACAAGGUACCC
rnacentral:rRNA from 1 species